rnacentral:rRNA from 1 species
UACGUAGGUGGCAAGCGUUGCCCGGAAUUAUUGGGCGUAAAGCGCGCGCAGGCGGUUCUUUAAGUCUGAUGUGAAAGCCCACGGCUCAACCGUGGAGGGUCAUUGGAAACUGGAGAACUUGAGUACAGAAGAGGAAAGCGGAAUUCCACGUGUAGCGGUGAAAUGCGUAGAGAUGUGGAGGAACACCAGUGGCGAAGGCGGCUUUCUGGUCUGUAACUGACGCUGAGGCGCGAAAGCGUGGGGAGCAAACAGG